AUUGAACGCUGGCGGCAUGCUUUACACAUGCAAGUCGAACGGUAACAGGCCGCAAGGUGCUGACGAGUGGCGAACGGGUGAGUAAUGCAUCGGAACGUGCCCAGUCGUGGGGGAUAACUGCUCGAAAGAGCAGCUAAUACCGCAUACGAUCUAUGGAUGAAAGCGGGGGACCGUAAGGCCUCGCGCGAUUGGAGCGGCCGAUGUCAGAUUAGGUAGUUGGUGGGGUAAAGGCUCACCAAGCCAACGAUCUGUAGCUGGUCUGAGAGGACGACCAGACACACUGGGACGGAGACACGGCCCAGACUCCUACGGGAGGCAGCAGUGGGGAAUUUUGGACAAUGGGGGCAAACCUGAUCCAGCAAUGCCGCGUGCAGGAAGAAGGCCUUCGGGUUGUAAACUGCUUUUGUACGGAACGAAACGGUCUGGGUUAAUACCCUGGGCUAAUGACGGUACCGUAAGAAUAAGCACCGGCUAACUACGUGCCAGCCGCCGCCGUAACAC
rnacentral:rRNA from 1 species